GGUAGGUGGCGGUAUGCAUCUCUAAAGCUGUAAUCUGCCAAGAAGAAGAAGAACAAGAGAAACUGUCCUGUAUGUCUCGGCAUUCACAAAUUUCUGCCUUGUCUUCGCACGUCGUUAAGACAAAUAAAAUGACUGACGCUGGUUGUUGGGAGCCGGAUCGCAUCCAGCUGGACUUAUUGAUGCCUACAGACAAGACCUCUGGAAGAGGAGAUUCCUCCAACACCUUCUUCAUUGAGACAGUUUUCGGAAAGCACGUCCCUCGGUCUGUCUGUGUGAACCCUCAGCCCACCGUCAUUGUGUUUCCUGCAGAUGUUAAGCAGAUGCUGAUGGUUAAAGAAGAAAUCUCAGAAGACCAAAAACCUAAUGUGGACCUGCAUGACCCAAAGUCCCACCACAUAAAGGAAGAAGAGGAGAGAGUCUGCAUCAGUCAGGGGGAAGUGCUGCAAAAUGUGAAGGAGGAGAUAGAAAGUGCCAUAAAGAGUGAGGAUGAGUGCGAAGACACCAAGAAGGAUGAAGAGGACAAUGAUGUAGAGUUGAAACACUUGUCAGACUCUGGACAGAAAACUAAAGUCAUGGACAAAGAUCCUGAGUCAGAUGGAAAACUUGUUAACAAACCAAAUUCAGAAAUAGGGUCUCAAGGGUUGCUGGAUAUUAAGAAAUGUUUUACAAAGAACAAAAUUGGUGGCUCACAAAGGAAGGCCAAAACAGGAGAUAAGUUUAGUUGUGAAGACUGUGGAAAAACAUUUAUUAAAAAACAGAAUUUAAACAUACACAUGAGAAUCCACACAGGACAGAAACCUUUCUGUUGUGAUGUCUGUGGAUACAAAUUUGGCCGUAAAUCACAUUUAAACUCACACAAGAGAUUCCACAUGGGACAGAAACCAUUCUGUUGUGAUCUCUGUGGACAUAGAUUUAGCCGUAAAUCUAGCUUAAACACACACAUGAAACUCCACACAGGACAAAAACCUUUCUGUUGUGAUCUCUGUGGACAUAGAUGCAGCCAAAAAGCUAAUUUAAACUCACACAUGAGAAUCCACACAGAACUGAAACCUUUCGGUUGUGAUCUCUGUGGACAGAAAUUUAGGCGUAAAUCUAGUUUAAGCACACAUGUGAGAAUCCACACAGGGCAGAAACCUUUCUGUUGUGAUCUCUGUGGACAUAGAUUUAGCCGUAAAUCUAGCUUAAACACACACAUGAGAAUCCACACAGGGCUGAAACCUUUCUGUUGUGAUCUCUGUGGACAUAAAUUUAGCCGUAAAUCUGUUUUAAGCAGACAUAUGAAAAUCCACACAGUACAAAAAUCUCUUUAUUUGUCUAACUAGUAGUUUUUUAGCCUUUUCUAAGCCAUCUUUUUUCACCUAUUUAAUCUGUAGUGCCUUGCAAACGUAUUCAUACCCCUUGAACUUUUCCACUGUAACUGGCUGUGAAGUAUUUAUGCUGGCCUACCUCAUUCUUUAUUUUAGCUGGGUUGAAGAGGAAUUAGUGUUAUUGUCCAUUUGUCGUUCUCAUGGUAUUGAUUUUUGUUCUGUGAUGAUUUUAAUUGACUGUUUUCGUGUUGAAGGAGUUUGACAUGUUGGCAGUACAUACAGCCAAUUUUGGGAUGAAUGUUUAUGGUUUGAAAAUAAUUCUUUAAGUUUGAACUUUGCAUUUCAUUCUGUCGAAAAAAAAAUUGUCUUUGUUUAUCCAAUGCAUGUCUGUUAACAGAAAAAAAGAGAUUGAAUCCAUUUAGUAAGAAUGUAAAUACUUUACACUUUAUGUGAUUAGAUUAAUUCUGGAAACUGUUGAAAAAGUUAUCCUGUGCCCGAUAACAGGGAGCUGCUUUAAAGCGGAUAUUUCAUACUUUAAAUACUCCCCUUUCACAUGUAAAUCAUUCACUUAUGGUCUACAUAAAGUAGAACU